rnacentral:rRNA from 1 species
GAAUAUUGGACAAUGGGGGGAACCCUGAUCCAGCCAUGCCGCGUGUGUGAAGAAGGCCUUUUGGUUGUAAAGCACUUUAAGCGAGGAGGAGGCUACUCUAGUUAAUACCUAGAGAUAGUGGACGUUACUCGCAGAAUAAGCACCGGCUAACUCUGUGCCAGCAGCCGCGGUAAUACAGAGGGUGAAAGCGUUAAUCGGAUUUACUGGGCGUAAAGCGGCCGUAGUUGGCCAAUUAAGUCAAUGGUGAAUUCCCCGAGCUUAACUUGGAAAUUGCAUUCGAUACUGUUGGGCCAGAGUAUGGGAGAGAAGGGUAGAAUUCCAGGUGUAGCGUUGAAAUGCGUAGAGAUCUGGAGGAAUACCGAUGGCGAAGGCAGCCACUUGGCCUAAUACGGACAUUGAGGUGCGAAAGCAUGGGAGCAAACA